CGCGCCGAACCGCUAUGGUCAACCGCGGGACCAUUCGUGGUCGUAGCGAUUUAGCGCGUUUUCAUUCCAACUUGUAUAUGAUAUACAAUUUCCAUAAUACAUCAAUUUGACUAAAAUUUUCUCAAUAAAUUCGGAUACACAGUCUCUAGGAAAUUACAAUAGGAUAAAUCUUUUAUUACGUAUGUGUUCACGUGUUUACCUUGGUUACGGCUGUAUAAAGAUUCGAAAAUACUAGGGGAUUAUGUGGGCAAUAUACAAAACUGAAAAAAUGUAUCAAGCGUUUUCUUAGGACACUAGACUUACACAUGACUUACAAAUAAAUAUCAUUAUUCUGUUAUUAACGAUUGGCGGUAUUGCUCAGAAAUGUUAAUCACGGACAGAUCGAAGGACCAGGGCUAUAGCAAAUAGUAGUUUUUUUUUCUAUUUUCUAUGUUGUCUAUAUGAUUCUGUAACGUAUGUAAGUUGUUUGUAACACGUUUCGUUGUGUUGCUGUUAUACCUCCAUAAAAUCGAGGUCGGUACUGUAAAUUAAUAUCGCAAUAGAAACUUCGCCUGCAGCUACGAGUAGAAAAAUGACUAAGUAAAAAAAAUUAACUAUUUGUAGUUAUUACGCAUCUUGUGAGUGUUCAGCAUCAUAAAGUUGUAAUAUUAUUUGUGGUGUUAAGUUAAAUUUUUGAUUUACUAGGCAAGAUCAAAUAAAAUUUGCUCAACAGUUGUUAAAACAGAGUAGAAAAUGACAAAAAAUGUUUCCUAAUUUAUCAGCAACUUAUAUGAGAAUUAGUAAAAGUUCAAAUGCCUUUAGGGAAAUGAAAAGGACACUGUUAGUACAUUAUUAUUUAUCUGCCGACUUGACAAAGGUGCAUUUAGGUUCAAAACAAAACAAUGGACACUAUUGUCAGAUAUUCAUAAGAAAUAUGACUCUCUAGGAUUAUUAACUCAACGAAUUAAUUUAAAGGAAAAAUGUUUUUAUAACAUUUAUGGACAUUAAAAUUAUAAUGGAAUAUAGCAGUCUUAUCAGAUAUUCAAGUGUGAUGGACCAAAUUUUAUAGUAGUUGAAAAAUUGUCUAUUUCAAGAAGAGCAUUAUGUAGCACCACUUGUGGCUAUAUUAGUUUAUGCGGCAACAUCUAUUCCACGGUUAACAAUGUUAUACACUUCAAAGUCACGUGACUUAUAACCAUUUCUCGCUUUGAAUUUUGUGCUGCUGUUCUGUUGAUGGAACUAUCAUAUGAAAUGCUAGCUGAAAUUUUAGAUUGCUCCCUGUGAAACUAGUGAUAAUGGCUCAGUCCCAAGAUCAAUGGUUAAAAACAUACUCAAGUAGACCACAUAAGUUCGAUUAACAGCUUGGUUACUCAGUUUUAAAAAUAACUAUGUUAGUAAAUUACAAGUGAAGAAGUGUAAUUUUACCAUUAAGUAAUCAACUCGGCGGUUAUGAUUAACAGAAGCUAAGUAUUUUGCUAAUGAUUAUUAGUGGUUGAUUAAGGUACAUGUCAUCAUAACAUUCAAAAAUACACUCUAUUGUUUUAUCAGCAAAGUAUAGCGUAACUUUGCUCAUUUUCAGUAUGAACGAAACUUUUACAGAUUAGUUCGCAAGGUUUACUUGCAAAUAUUUUACGCCCUGUAAUGAUCUCAAUCUCGUCCGGUCUACAGUUUAAUGAGUGAAAAAUUCUUUUAACAAUUUUUAUGGUAAAUUUUCAUUGAAUCUUUUUCUUCACCUUUCUUACUAAGUAUUUUUUAGUAACUCUUGGGAAUAGAACUAAAAAAUUGAUAAAAUAAUAAUAAAACAAUAAGGAAAAUAUAUUACUUCCUAACAGAUUUUAAACUUACACUUCUAACAAAGAAUAAGAAUUAAGUAUGUUUGUAAAAUCAUAAAUGAUUUUACUAUAUCUUAGGAGUGUAUCUAGAAAUUUAUCUUGAUUGUUCUUAGUUUACGCGAGUAUUUUCAAACCUCUAAAUAUAAGAGCACAAUACCUAAAAAAAAUCCGUAACUCAUAUUAUAAUAUGAU